UUGGAGGGCAAGUCUGGUGCCAGCAGCCGCGGUAAUUCCAGCUCCAAUAGCGUAUAUUAUAGUUGUUGCAGUUAAAAAGCUCGUAGUUGAACUUCGGGGUCUACCCAUUGGUCAGGCUUAAUUGUCUGCACUGGUGAGAUGGAUCUCUACCUUCUGAGGAACUUUCAUGCCAUUUAUUUGGUGUGAUGGGAAAUCAGGACUGUUACUUUGAAAAAAUUAGAGUGUUUAAAGCAGACUAUCGUCUGAAUACAUUAGCAUGGAGUAAUGAAAUAGGACGGACUGAUUCUAUUUCGUUGGUUUCUAGGAUCACCGUAAUGAUUAAUAGGGAUAGUUGGGGGCAUUAGUAUUCAAUUGUCAGAGGUGAAAUUCUUGGAUUUAUUGAAGACUAACUACUGCGAAAGCAUUUGCCAAGGAUGUUUUCAUUAAUCAAGAACGAAAGUUAGGGGAUCGAAGACGAUCAGAUACCGUCGUAGUCUUAACCAUAAACUAUGCCGACUAGGGAUCGGACGAAGUUAAUUUUAUAAUGACGCGUUCGGCACCUUACGGGAAACCAAAGUGUUUGGGUUC
rnacentral:rRNA from 1 species